rnacentral:rRNA from 1 species
GUAGUAACAGAGGGUUUGAUCAUGGCUCAGAUUGAACGCUGGCGGAUGCUUUACACAUGCAAGUCGAACGGCAGCACGGACUUCGGUCUGGUGGCGAGUGGCGAACGGGUGAGUAAUGUAUCGGAACGUGCCUAGUAGCGGGGGAUAACUACGCGAAAGUAGCUAUUAAUGUAUACGCUCCUUCGGGGGAAAGCGGGGACCUUUCGGGCCUUCGCACUAUUAGAGCGGCUGAUAUCGGAUUAGCUAGUUGGUAGGGUAACGGCUCACCACAGAAUAUCCAGUUGGCUUGAGAGGACGACCAGCCACACUGGGACUGAGACACGGCCCAGACUCCUACGGGAGGCAGCAGUGGGAAUUUUGGACAAUGGGGAAACCCUGAUCCAGCCAUCUCAUGUGUGCGAUGAAGCCUUUCAAGUUGUAAAGACUUUGGCAGGAAAGAAACGGCACGGGAUAAUACCCCGUGCAACUGACGGUACCUGCAGAAUAAGCACCGGCUAACUACGUGCCAGCAGCCGCGGUAAUACGUAGGGUGCAAGCGUUAAUCGGAAUUACUUGGCGUAAAGCGUGCAGGCGGUUCGGAAAGAAAGAUGUGAAAUCCUGAGUUAACCUUUGAACCGCAUUUUUAACUACCGAGCUAGAGUGUGUCAGAGGGAGUGGAAUUCCGCGUGUAGCAGUGAAAUGGUAGAUAUGCGGAGGAACACCGAUGGCGAAGGCAGCCUCCUCGGAGAUAACACUGACGCUCAUGCACGAAAGCGUGGGGAGACAGGAUUAGAUACCCUGGUAGUCCACGCCCUAAACGAUGUCAACUAGCUGCUGGGGCCUUCGGCCCCGUGGCGCAGCUAACGCGUGCUGACCGGGCUCGGGAGUACGGUCGCAAGAUUGGAACUCAAAGGAUUGACGGGGACCCACACAAGCGGUGGAUGAUGUGGAUUAAUUCGAUGCAACGCGAAAAACCUUACCUACCCUUGACAUGUCUGGAAUCCCGAAGAGAUUUGGGAGUGCUCGCAAGAGAACCGAACACAGGUGCUGCAUGGUCAUGCUCAAAGCUCGUGUCGUGAGAUGUUGGGUUGGUCCCGCAACGAGCGCGCAACCCUUGUCACAGUUGCCGCGAAAGGGCACUCUAAUGAGAUCAUGGUAGACAAACCGAGGAAGGUGGGGAUGACGUCAAGUCCUCAUGGCCCUUGCGGUAGGGUUUCUAAGCACGUCAUACAAUGGUCGGGACAGGCGGGUCGCCAACCCGCGAGGGGGAGCCAAUCCAGAAACCCGAUCGGUCCGCUGAUCGCAGUCUGCAACUCGACUGCGUGAAGCUCGGAACGCUAGUAAUCGCGUAGGAUCAGCAUGUCGCGUGAACAUGUUCCCGGUCUUGUACACACCGCCCGUCACACCAUGGGAGUGGGUUUUACCAGAAGUAGUUAGCCUAACCGUAAGGAGGGCGAUUACCACGGUAGGAUUCAUGACUGGGGUGAAGUCGUAACAAGGUAGC